rnacentral:rRNA from 1 species
GACGAACCGUGCGAACGUUAUUCGGAAUCACUGGGCUUAAAGCGCGUGUAGGCGGGACGGCACGUCGGUCGCUGAAAUCCCCCGGCUUAACCGGGGAACGGGCGUCGAUACGACCGUCCUGGAGGGGCGUAGGGGGACCUGGAACUUCCGGUGGAGCGGUGAAAUGCGUAGAGAUCCGGAGGAACACCAGAGGCGAAGGCGGCCCACUGGUCCGGUACUGACGCUGAGGUGCGAAAGCGUGGGGAGCAAACAGG